rnacentral:lncRNA from 1 species
UUUUUUUUUUUAUGUUCUUUGAAAUUCCUUUUAACAUAAUAUGUAUUUAUUAACCUACACUUAAAUACUUAAUGAACUAUUCAAAUUCUACCGAUUGUUAUAUUAACAAAGAUUGGUUACUAAUUUAGAAGUGUUAGAAUUUGAUAAGUUAAGUUAAAGAAAAUGAAAAGACAAAUUAUAGGAAUUGUAAAAGUUAGGUAAAGUAAUACAUGUGUGUUAAUUUAAAGCAAUUAAUCAUGUGUUAAAGUACCACUUUUCCACUUCCAAAUCCCGUUCAAUUUAUGUAAUUGAAAAAUUAAUUAAUUGAAUUUUAUUUAACUUUUACUUAAGGUGCGCAAAAUAAUAUUUUUUAAUUAGAUAUUUAAUUAAAUGUUUGAUUUAAUUAGAUAAUAUAUAUAUAUAUAUAUACACACACACUUACGGAAUUGUAAAAGAUAAUGUACUAAUACACAUAUAAGAAUAUGAAGAAUCAAUUCUGAAAAUUGUUAAAGACGCGCUGCAUAUAUAAAAUGACUUCUAAUGACUUCUUGAAAUUAGUAAUUUGAUAUGUGGAUAAGCAUAUAAUUAUGGUUGAUUCAUGGUAUUGUACUCAAUAUGAUAUUUAGCAUUUAUUUAAACGUAUAUUUACAAUUUUUUGCACAAAUUAUUAAAGGAGUAUUUAUUUAUUUCAAGAUUAAAAUGUUUAAUUAACUAUAUUAGAUGAAUUUAAUUAAAUAUUUUAUAACAUUUUCAUUUAGUGUAAGGGUAAAAUGGUAAUUCAACUUUUCACCUUGGAGCUUCCCACUUAUAAUAAUAUAUGAUAUAUAUAUAUAUAUGAAAACACUAGAUAAUAACAGUACUCGAAGGGAGUAUGAUUCUUUUGUGGUUAAAUAAAGUCUAGAAAUACAAAAUGUAGAAAGUUUGACAGAUCUCCAAGAUUAAUGUGAAUGGAAUAAUUGUUAUGCCUAUGCAACGAACACAACUUAAAAUAGAUAAUCAACAUAAAAUAAAAUUAUCCAACAACAUAAAAAUAGAUACUCAAUCCAACAAGAUAAAAUAAUACAGUAUAAUCCAACAUAAAAUAGAUACUCAAUCCAACAACAUAAAAUGGAUACUCAAUCCAACUUCCUUGUUUUGAGGAAAAAGAAUUGCAAAUGAAACACUUUUCAGAACUAGCUGCGAACCAGCAAACUAUUCACAAUCUAAUUGGAUGUAUAAACCUCAUGUAUACACAAGCCUCAGACAACAGCAUAAGUCUACAUUACACUGCUUCCUUUCGAACAGAUAACUUACCACGCCAUAAUAAUUGCAAUGGUACUGGAACACUAUGAAAAGCUUGUGUUACGAACCUCACAUCUACAAUCGGUAUCAUUAUAAAGGAUAUCCAUGCAUGACUUUUCCUCUCGUUACACGUAUGUGAUAACUUUUUGAACAGCCAUGCCUUGAGCAACCUUCAUCUAACGUAACGGUUUAGAUAGUUUUGAAAGAAUCUAAGAAAACAGGCCAGCCUUUUUACAUCAUUGCCAAUUUUGGUAGAAAAUUAGUAAAAUCAUGCUUGAACCUGUAAAGUAGCAACAUUAUGCUUGAGCCAGGCCCUUUUUAACAAGCAUCUCAUACACUUUGUCCACCUUAUUCGGAUCAACAUUGAAUAGACCAUGCGCAUCAGAUUUCUUGGUGAUGUUGCCAUUAAAGAUCCCCAUGGACAUGGUUUGCGACAUGUUUAGAUAAUGAGCCGGCAGGAUUCUCAUCUCAUCACAAAGCUUUUUUUCCUGCA